rnacentral:rRNA from 1 species
GACAGAAAGACCCUAUGAAGCUUUACUGUAGCUUGGAAUUGAAUUUGGGUUUAUUUUGCGCAGUAUAGGUGGGAGGCUGAGAUUAUAUGUUUGCGGAUAUAUAAGAGCCAACAGUGAGAUACCACUCUAAUUAAACUAGAAUUCUAACUUUGAUAGUCGUUAUCCGGCCAAAGAACAGUUUCAGGUGGGCAGUUUGACUGGGGCGGUCGCCUCCUAAAAAGUAACGGAGGCGUGCAAAGGUUCCUUCAGUCUGGUUGGAAAUCAGUCGAAGAGUAUAAAGGCAUAAAGGAGCUUGACUGCAAGACUUACAAGUCGAGCAGAGACGAAAGUCGGCCUUAGUGAUCCGACAGUUCUGAGUGGAAAGGCUGUCGCUCAACGGAUAAAAGUUACUCUAGGGAUAACAGGCUGA